GCUUCCUUAGCUCAGUCGGUAGAGCGCCAGUCUCAUAGUCUGAGAACUUUUCAGAGGUUUAUAAUCUGGAGGUCGCAAGUUCGAGCCUUGCAGGGAGCA